UACGUAGGGGGCUAGCGUUGUCCGGAAUCAUUGGGCGUAAAGCGCGUGUAGGCGGUCCGGUAAGUCCGCUGUGAAAGUCGGGGGCUCAACCCUCGAAUGCCGGUGGAUACUGUCAGACUAGAGUACGGAAGAGGCGAGUGGAAUUCCUGGUGUAGCGGUGAAAUGCGCAGAUAUCAGGAGGAACACCCAUUGCGAAGGCAGCUCGCUGGGACGUUACUGACGCUGAGACGCGAAAGCGUGGUGAGCAAACAGG
rnacentral:rRNA from 1 species